UACGUAGGGGGCAAGCGUUAUCCGGAUUUACUGGGUGUAAAGGGAGCGUAGACGGCGAUGCAAGUCUGAAGUGAAAGGCGGGGGCCCAACCCCCGGACUGCUUUGGAAACUGUAUGGCUGGAGUGCAGGAGAGGUAAGUGGAAUUCCUAGUGUAGCGGUGAAAUGCGUAGAUAUUAGGAGGAACACCAGUGGCGGAGGCGGCUUACUGGACUGUAACUGACGUUGAGACUCGAAAGCGUGGGGAGCAAACAGG
rnacentral:rRNA from 1 species